rnacentral:rRNA from 1 species
GUGGGGAAUAUUGGGCAAUGGGCGCAAGCCUGACCCAGCAACGCCGCGUGAAGGAAGAAGGCUUUCGGGUUGUAAACUUCUUUUACCAGGGACGAAACAAAUGACGGUACCUGGUGAAUAAGCCACGGCUAGCUACGUGCCAGCAGCCGCGGUAAUACGUAGGUGGCGAGCGUUAUCCGGAUUUAUUGGGUGUAAAGGGCGUGUAGGCGGGACAGCAAGUCAGAUGUGAAAACCAGAGGCUCAACCUCUGGCCUGCAUUUGAAACUGUUGUUCUUGAGUGUCGGAGAGGUAAUCGGAAUUCCGUGUGUAGCGGUGAAAUGCGUAGAUAUACGGAGGAACACCAGUGGCGAAGGCGGAUUACUGGACGAUAACUGACGCUGAGGCGCGAAAGCGUGGGGAGCAAACAGGAUUAGAAACCCGAGUAGUCC